GUGGCUCAGUGGUAGAGUGCUUGCUUUGCAUGCAUGGGGCCCUGGGUUUGGUCCCAGC
rnacentral:tRNA from 1 species